AAUUUCGGAUAAUCGCGGCGGAUCAGCCGAGGAAAGUCCAUGCUCGCACAAGCUGAGAUGCUUGUAGUGUUCGUGCUUAGUGAAAUAAUAAGCUAAGGGAGUAUUUAUACUUACGGCAGCUAAACAACCUAAGGCCUAGUGCGAUGGUUUAGUCAGCUCUAAGGUGCCACAGAGACGAGUCUUAUUAGAAAUAAUAAGAAUGGAACGGGUAAACCCCUCGAGCGAGCAACCCAAACAAAGGUAGGGGCACUCUCUCUAACAGGAAUUCAACUUACGAGAGAGACAAAUUUAUUUGUAGAUAGAUGGUUAUCCCAUCACGAUGAUUCCUAUGUCUUCGCGGUGGACAGAACAUGGCUUAUAGAA
rfam:Facklamia ignava CCTG 37419 genomic scaffold supercont1.1, whole genome shotgun sequence.